GCUGGGUGUGGUGCUGUGUGCCUGUAGUCCUAGCUACUUGGGAGGCUGAGGCAGGAGGAUUGCUUGAGUCCGGGAGUUCAAGGCUGCAGUGAGCUAUGGUCAUACCACUGCACUCCAGCCUGGGUGACAGAGCAAGACUCUGUCUUUA
rfam:Gorilla gorilla gorilla genomic chromosome, chr11, whole genome shotgun sequence